rnacentral:misc_RNA from 1 species
ACAAACUUGGUCAUUUAGAGGAAGUAAAAGUCGUAACAAGGUUUCCGUAGGUGAACCUGCGGAAGGAUCAUUAGAGAAAAAUGAGUAAAACUUUCUUCAACUCGUCUUGCUCUCUGUUGGCCUUUUACUGGCUGUUGGCUUUACUGGCUGUUGGCCUCUGGCCAACAGAGAGCAAAACAGCAAACUAUAAUACCUGAACAACCAAACCACUAACAUACAUGAGAACCUUGCCGCAAUGGAUCUCUCGGCUCUUGCAUCAAUGAAGAACGCAGC